GAUCGCCUGGUCGGUGGGGAAUGCCACUACUUCGGCUGCAACCCGAGCAAGACACUGCUUCGCCCGAUCGAGGUGUUCAAUCUCGCCAAGGCGGUUCCC
rnacentral:tRNA from 1 species